AAUCAAGUGCCUUAAGGGUGUUCGGUGGAUGCCUUGGCGCUGAGAGGCGAUGAAGGACGUGCUACGCUGCGAUAAGCCGUGGGGAGCUGCGAAGAAGCUUUGAUCCACGGAUUUCCGAAUGGGGAAACCCACCUUCGAUAGCUGGAACUCCAAGAUCUCGUAUCUUGGGGUUUGAACAGCAAUGUUUGAGACCAAGCCGUGAGGUUUUGGAUUUCCAGUUAUCAAGUGAAGGUAUGAAAUCUCCGAAUAAAAUAGGAGGUUUUAAGCGAACCCAGGGAACUGAAACAUCUAAGUACCUGGAGGAAAGGACAUCAAUCGAGACUCCGUUAGUAGUGGCGAGCGAACGCGGACCAGGCC
rnacentral:rRNA from 1 species